GCUGGUGUAGCUCAGCUGGGAGAGCUACGGCUUUGUAACCCGUGGGUCGGCGGUUCGAACCCGUCCACCAGCG
rnacentral:tRNA from 1 species